GUCUAUAGCCAUGCUACCCUGAACAAGUCCAAUUCCGUCUGAUCUCAGAAGCUAAGCAGGGUCAGGCCUGGUUAGUGUUUGGAUGGGAGACCACCUAGGAAGACCAGGUGCUGUAGGCG
rnacentral:rRNA from 1 species